AUAACUAUGCGAAAAUGUGAUUGUUCGUUGGUUUGUUCUCCAAUCACGCCGCAAUGAAGCAACGAAUUGAUAUGAUUUUUUGGAUGAUUAUAGUUAAGGACCA